rnacentral:tRNA from 1 species
AGAAAAUUAGUUAAAUUAUAACAUAAAUAUGUCAAGUUUAAAUUACUAAUCUUUUAGUAUUUUCUG